GGUAGACGCUGCGGCAGGCUUAACACAUGCAAGUCGAGGGGCAGCGUAGAUUGCUAGCAAUCUGACGGCGACCGGCGAACGGGUGCGUAACGCGUAUAGAAUCUGCCUUGUACAGAGGGAUAGCCUUUAGAAAUGAAGAUUAAUACCUCAUGGUACUGAUUUCUGGCAUCGGGAAUUAGUUAAAGAUUUAUNUGGNACAAGAUGACUAUGCUGUCCUAUUAGCUAGAUGGUAAGGUAACGGCUUACCAUGGCUACUAUAGGUAGGGGGUCUGAGAGGAUUAUCCCCCACACUGGUACUGANACACGGACCANACUNCUACUGGAGGCANCAGUGAGGAAUAUUGNACAAUGNGCNGANGCCUGAUNCAGCCAUGCUC
rnacentral:rRNA from 1 species